GGGUCACGGCAUUAGGAAGGUUGAGAACCGCUGCUCUAGACGGAAUGAACAUAUUAGGUGAUAAGCUGGGAGAGGAUAUUCUCCAUGUCUUAAACCAACAGAAGUCUGUAACUAGGAUUAUCAAAUAACUCCUGAAAAUCGAUCCAGAAAGGAAAGGAAACCUAAUUACAAAAAUAAUAAUGGGCAAAGAAUAUGUAGAAGCCACUCCUGGAAGGAGAAAUCAGAAUGGCUGCGGCUCAUGCUCACUGGUGACCUGACAAAGGUAAAGGGCUUGGGCCAUGUUUUCCUGUGUCUUCAUCUGUUAGAUAACUUUGGAUUCUGUCCGGGCCAUUGGGAUGAUAUGUCACAGAGACUGGACUUGUUAGAGUCCUCUGGAAAAUGUCGAUUUUUAUUGAAGCAGGUCCAGGGCUCUUCAAGGCGGGGCUGCCGGCGUCCCUUGCCCUGUUUUAUCCUCACAUGAGCCCUACGAGAUCAGCGCUGCCCCAGGUAAGGGCAUUGCUGUUCAGAGACAUGAGGUACCUCCAGGUGAGCAGGCUGGCCCUGGGUUUGCACUUCCUGCCUCCUGAGGGCUGGCUUGGGGCUGCCCACGCGACCUGGCCCCUUCCUGGCUUAGACCCCACACCUUCCCUUCUGCCUGCAGGCCUGACACCAAAGAGGCUGUUCUUGUUUCCAGCAAGAAAAACUUGGCAAUGGCCAUGAGUUGAGACGACCUGAUAAAAUAUUUCUUGUUUUCUCAAGUUUACAUAGACCAAGUUUUCACUGUUGCUAUG